rnacentral:rRNA from 1 species
CAGUCGCCGCGGGAAUACGUAGGGUCCGAGCGUUGUCCGGAAUUAUUGGGCGUAAAGAGCUCGUAGGCGGUCUGUCGCGUCUGCCGUGAAAUCCUCAGGCUCAACCUGAGGCGUGCGGUGGGUACGGGCAGGCUAGAGUGCGGUAGGGGAGAAUGGAACUCCUGGUGUAGCGGUGGAAUGCGCAGAUAUCAGGAAGAACACCGAUGGCGAAGGCAGUUCUCUGGGCCGUAACUGACGCUGAGGAGCGAAAGCGUGGGGAGCGAACAGGAUUAGAUACCCCUGUAGUCCCUGUCUCUUAUAA